UACAGAGGGGGCGAGCGUUGUUCGGAAUUACUGGGCGUAAAGGGCGCGUAGGCGGCCCGCUAAGUCGAACGUGAAAUCCCCAGGCUCAACCUGGGAACUGCGUCCGAUACUGGCAGGCUUGAAUCCGGGAGAGGGAUGUGGAAUUCCAGGUGUAGCGGUGAAAUGCGUAGAUAUCUGGAGGAACACCGGUGGCGAAGGCGGCAUCCUGGACCGGUAUUGACGCUGAGGCGCGAAAGCUAGGG
rnacentral:rRNA from 1 species